AGCGAACGCUGGCGGCAGGCUUAACACAUGCAAGUCGAGCGGGCAUCCCCGGGGUGUGUGCGGCAGACGGGUGAGGAACGCGUGGGUACGUGCUCUGUGACCUGCACUAACUCUGGGGAAAUUGUCAUAAUACCGGAUCCGAGCGCGAGUAGAAAGGUCUAUUUGCGGAUGGAUCGGCGCGCGUCUGAUUAGCUGGUUGGUGAGGUUACGGCUCACCAAGGCGACGUGCGGUAGCUGGUCUGCGAGGAGGUUCAGCGACACCGGAGCUGGGACACAGCCCAGAAUGCUACGCGAGGCAGCGGUGGGGAAUAUUAUACGAUGGAGGCAAACCUAGUCCAGCCAUGCCGCGGAUGUCAUGACGGCCGUAGUGUUGUAAAGCUCUUUGCGCCGGGACGAGAAUGACGGUACCGGGGGAAGAAGCCCCGGCUAACUUCGUG
rnacentral:rRNA from 1 species